rnacentral:rRNA from 1 species
AUGGAGGAUCUCCCAGAGCCACUGCUUGCAGACAUCGUCAAGAGGAUUACCAAGACAAGUGAUCUUAAUUCUCUUUCCCUCGUGUCGAAGCAGCUCUGCGCCGUUGAGGCGGAGCACAGGGAUGCCAUCCGCGUUGGCUGUGGACUCAACUCUUCUCCAGAAGCCGUGGUAUCGCUGUUCUCCCGGUUCCCCAAUUUGGUGAAAGUUGAGAUCAAUUACUCUGGGUGGAAAACUAGUAACGGGGAUCAGUUGAACAACCAAGGCCUCCUUGUUCUAUCAUCACACUGCCUCUUGCUGUCUGAUCUUGCUUUAAGCUUCUGCUCAUACAUCGGUGACAGUGGUCUUGGAUAUCUAGCUGAGUGCAAAAAUUGA